rnacentral:rRNA from 1 species
UGUAGUCAUAUGCUUGUCUCAAAGAUUAAGCCAUGCAUGUCUAAGUAUAAGCAACUAUACUGUGAAACUGCGAAUGGCUCAUUAAAUCAGUUAUCGUUUAUUUGAUAGUACCUUACUACUUGGAUAACCGUGGUAAUUCUAGAGCUAAUACAUGCGAAAAACCCCGACUUCGGAAGGGGUGUAUUUAUUAGAUAAAAAACCAAUGCCCUUCGGGGCUUUCUGGUGAUUCAUAAUAACUAAACGAAUCGCAUGGCCUUGCGCCGGCGAUGGUUCAUUCAAAUUUCUGCCCUAUCAACUUUCGAUUGUAGGAUAGAGGCCUACAAUGGUAUCAACGGGUAACGGGGAAUG